CCCGGGGCCCCAGGGAUCCCCGGCAGCCGCGCGCCGGGCCCCAGGCUCAGUGCCAGAGGGUGUGUCUAUCGUCCAUCCGCCGCCCCCGCCCCCUGCGAUGACUCUCGGCUAGCCGGGCUCCGUCGUUGCUCCGGAUAGAAUCCCGGCGCGUGGCCGAUCUGCUGGGCCAUGGCCUCCGGGUUUCAAGAGCCCAGGGUUGAAGGACCCAGACUGAGGGGGCUUUCAUUCUGCUUUCAACUCCAGAAGAAACUGGUGAAAAAGUUUGAGAAAAAGAAGUCCAAUCGACUUUCAGCUUCAGCCCUCCCUAUGACACUCCAGCCACGAGAAGGAGCAGGAGAAAUGUCCACAUCUCGGAAGGACCACCGCGAGACACGCCAAACCUGUCUUCUUGCAGCUGCCCUGACUCCUGAGCAUAUGGGAACUUUCCGGUUUUCACAGACCUCCCUGGGUUGCUCAGACCACACAAGCCUGUCUGCCUACUCUGACACUCCAGUUGCAGCCAACACCCAACCAGCCUUCCCAAGGUCCACACCGACAGUCUUCCCUUCUCCCAAUGCAAGCUGUCUACUCAGACCCUAAUUGGAACACUAAGUGGAAACUUUGGCUGGAGACCUGUGGCUACUGGGUUGUGAGCUUUUUCAUUCCGCCAGAAUAUUUCUCUUUUGUGCCUGUCUUCCUUGGCUUGCUAACUCUGCAGGCUGCAAUCAUGAGGGAAAAAGGACCCUCAACUGAGAAAAUGCCUCCAUCAGAUGAGUCUCCAGAACUUCUGAAGCUGCACCAUGCACUUUCUCUAUAGAAGAAGCCGGGAGAAAGAAUUCCUGAGUCCACGGCCAGAAGAAAGAUGACUGUCAGCAACAUGGUGCAGAGGCUCCACUGCUGGAACCACGGGGGACAAGGAUGGGAAGCCGAGAGAAGAAAUUUGCCUCCUUAUCUUUGCCAAAGAGAACAAUCUACUGACUGAAAGAGAAAAGAGAACUUUGGUAAUAGAAAAUUGAAGUUUGAGAUGAGGAAAGAUAGUCUAACAACACCAAGCUGCUGUAAUUGAGCUCAAGUUUCUUGGCCAGAACAAAUUAUAGUCCAGGGAGUAGAGCUAGCUCACCACUGAAGAUGUAGUGCAGAUCUUCCACUGGUAAUGUUUAAGGAAUGUAGAGACUGAAAGAAAUAGGAAUGCUAGAGAUGACAAAACAGCUCUGAUUUUUUAAAGAUGGGAAAAGAGCUUGCAUCUACAGAAGCAAAUU